GAUGAAGAACGCAGCGAAAUGCGAUACGUAAUGUGAAUUGCAGAAUUCAGUGAAUCAUCGAGUCUUUGAACGCACAUUGCGCCCCCUGGUAUUCCGGGGGGCAUGCCUGUUCGAGCGUCAUUAUAACCCCUCAAGCUCAGCUUGGUGUUGGGGCCUGCUGCACUGGCAGCCCUUAAAAUCAGUGGCGGCGCCAUCUGGCUCUAAGCGUAGUAAUUCUUCUCGCUAUGGAGUCCUGGUGGAUGCUUGCCAUCAACCCCCAAUUUUUCUAUGGUUGACCUCGGAUCAGGUAGGGAUACCCGCUGAACUUAAGCAUAUCAAUAAGCGGAGGA
rnacentral:misc_RNA from 1 species